rnacentral:rRNA from 1 species
AUUGAACGCUGGCGGCAGGCCUAACACAUGCAAGUCGAACGAGUAUCGGACGGGUGAGUAAUUUCUGGGAAACUGCCUGCUGGAGGGGGAUAACUACUGGAAACGGUAGCUCAUACCGCAUCCUAUCGGAUAUGCCCAGAUGGGAUUAGCUAGUCGGUGGGGGAAAGGCUCACCUAGGCGACGAUACCUAGCUGGUCUGAGAGGAUGAUCAGCCACACGGGGAAUGAGACACGGUCCAGACUCCGACGGGAGGCAGCAGUGGGGAAUAUUGAACAAUGGGCGCAAGCCUGAUGCAGCCAUGACGCGUGUAUGAAGAAGGCCUUCGGGUUGUAAAGUACUGUCAGCGGGGAGGCGUUACCCGCAGAAGAAGCACCGGCUAACUCCGUGCCAGCAGCCGCGGUAAUAC